rnacentral:rRNA from 1 species
UACGUAGGGUGCAAGCGUUGUCCGGAAUUAUUGGGCGUAAAGAGCUUGUAGGCGGUUUGUCGCGUCUGCUGUGAAAUUUCGGGGCUCAACCCCGAACUUGCAGUGGGUACGGGCAGACUAGAGUGUGGUAGGGGAGACUGGAAUUCCUGGUGUAGCGGUGAAAUGCGUAGAGAUCAGCAGGAACACCCGUGGCGAAGGCGGCCCCCUGGGCCGUACCUGACGCUGAGGCGCGAAGGCUAGGGGAGCGAACGGG